AAGCAAUGAUGUGGGCAUUGAGCUAGGAGCAUUUUGAAACGUUCCCAUGCCUCAUGGAAUGGUUCGCCAUCCAAUUGUGUGAAGUUAUAUAUUUUGCCACGAAGAUC